rnacentral:rRNA from 1 species
AGCUCCAAUAGCGUAUAUUAAAGUUGUUGUGGUUAAAAAGCUCGUAGUUGGAUCUCGGCGGUCUGAGGGCGGUUCGCUUGAUUGAGUGCUACUGCUCUAUAGGCCGUGGUUUUUCCAGAGGUCUCGGGGUGCUCUUAACCGAGUGUCCUGCGAUGCUGGCAGGUUUACUUUGAAAAAAUUAGAGUGCUCAAAGCAGGCUUUUACGCCUGAAUAUUCGUGCAUGGAAUAAUAGAAUAGGAAGUCGUUUCUAUUUUGUUGGUUUUCGGAAAUCGACUUAAUGAUUAAUAGGGACAGUCGGGGGCAUUUGUAUUUCGUUGUCAGAGGUGAAAUUCUUGGAUUUACGAAAGAUAAACUUCUGCGAAAGCAUUCGGCAAGGAUGUUUUCA